AAAACGGCGCUUCUGAGUGCCAAAGAUACUUUCAAUUACAUUAUGU
rfam:Tuber melanosporum whole genome shotgun sequence assembly, scaffold_49, strain Mel28